rnacentral:rRNA from 1 species
UUCAAGCUUACCACUGUCUACGGGCCAACUAGAAGCAUUCACAAAGAUGCUUUUUUCCUUGAGCUGUCAUCUCAGAAACCAUUGCCAGGAACAAAGUGGCUGGUUAACGGCGACUUCAACCAAAUAUACCGGGCUCGAGAUAAAAACCGCACAAAUGUGGAUCGCAGCCGCCUAGUUAGGUUUCGCAACACCUUAAACUCUUGCGAGCUCAAGGAGAUCCAUCUACAGAAUCGAAGAUUCACAUGGAGCAAUGAAAGAAACAACCCAACGCUUUGUAAACUGGACAGCUUUUUUUGCAAUGAGGACUGGGACAUCGAAUUUGCCAAUCACAUUCUUCAUGCCCUCUCCUCCUCACUUUUGGACCACUGCCCGCUUUUACUCGCUAAUGAGGAUGGGCCCAAGCGACCGAAGUCCUUCCGGUUCGAGAACCAUUGGACCAAGAUGCCGGGUUUCCAAAAGACGGUCAAGGAUGCUUGGGAUGAAGAAUCAACGCAUACCGAGCCAUACCAGAGGCUGUUUCAUAAGCUCAAAACUACUAGCCAAAGAUUACGCUAG